rnacentral:rRNA from 1 species
AUUGAACGCUGGCGGCAUGCCUUACACAUGCAAGUCGAACGGCAGCACGGGGGGCAACCCUGGUGGCGAGUGGCGAACGGGUGAGUAAUAUAUCGGAACGUGCCCUAGAGUGGGGGAUAACGUAGCGAAAGUUACGCUAAUACCGCAUACGAUCUACGGAUGAAAGUGGGGGAUCGCAAGACCUCAUGCUCGUGGAGCGGCCGAUAUCUGAUUAGCUAGUUGGUAGGGAAAAGCCUACCAAGGCGACGAUCAGUAGCUGGUCUGAGAGGACGACCAGCCACACUGGGACUGAGACACGG